GCUUUCACUUUUUUAUGUAAUAUAUAUAUAUGUUUUCUUUUUAAAAUAAAAUCUGCGUGGUACGAGUUUUCUAGAAUCUACUCGUAAGAAAAUAGUAAACAAUCAUUUGUUAGGAUCGAAGUUUCAAUUUGCUCAUAUGGCACAGGAUAAAACACUUGUAUUUUCAAAAUUUACACCCCAGUUCUAUUGUUAUACUUCAUGACUAUUAUUUCUGAAACAAAAUACACCUCAGUUAUAUUGUUAUACUUUAAUAAUUCUUAUAUGAUUUGCAUACUAGGGAACACGUUUAUAUGAUUGGUCGAGAGGAAUUCCGGUAGUUGAUCUAGACGUUGGUUAUUUUUCGAUAGACGACGUUGACCGAACUUCUUUGCGUAACCAAUGUAAACAAGAUGGCAACGAUAAUAACACCGACGUUAACAAAAUUUAUUUUCACUGCACGUUAAUCUGUGAAUAAAAUAAUACACAAACACAUUCGUUUGAAUGAUAAUAAGAGUUUUGCAGUUUACUUUUUAUCAGAUAGAAUAUUUCAUUGAGUACACAUGUUUGCG
rnacentral:lncRNA from 1 species